rnacentral:rRNA from 1 species
UGGGGAAUAUUGCACAAUGGGCGAAAGCCUGAUGCAGCAACGCCGCGUGAGUGAUGAAGGUCUUCGGAUUGUAAAGCUCUGUCUUUUGGGACGAUAAUGACGGUACCAAAGGAGGAAGCCACGGCUAACUACGUGCCAGCAGCCGCGGUAAUACGUAGGUGGCGAGCGUUGUCCGGAUUUACUGGGCGUAAAGGGUGCGUAGGCGGAUGUUUAAGUGAGAUGUGAAAUACCCGGGCUUAACUUGGGUGCUGCAUUUCAAACUGGAUAUCUAGAGUGCAGGAGAGGAGAAUGGAAUUCCUAGUGUAGCGGUGAAAUGCGUAGAGAUUAGGAAGAACACCAGUGGCGAAGGCGAUUCUCUGGACUGUAACUGACGCUGAGGCACGAAAGCGUGGGUAGCAAACAGGAUUAGAUACCCUGGUAGUCCACGCCGUAAACGAUGAGUACUAGGUGUAGGAGGUAUCGACCCCUUCUGUGCCGCAGUAAACACAUUAAGUACUCCGCCUGGGAAGUAC